rnacentral:rRNA from 1 species
UACAGAGGGGGCAAGCGUUGUUCGGAAUUACUGGGCGUAAAGGGCGCGUAGGCGGCCUUCUAAGUCGAACGUGAAAUCCCCGGGCUCAACCCGGGAACUGCGUCCGAUACUGGAAGGCUUGAAUCCGGGAGAGGGAUGCGGAAUUCCUGGUGUAGCGGUGAAAUGCGCAGAUAUCAGGAGGAACACCAAUUGCGAAGGCAGCUCGCUGGGACGUGACUGACGCUGAGACGCGAAAGCGUGGGGAGCAAACAGG